rnacentral:rRNA from 1 species
UAGCGGCGGACGGGUGAGUAAUGCUUAGGAAUCUGCCUAUUAGUGGGGGACAACAUUCCGAAAGGGAUGCUAAUACCGCAUACGCCCUACGGGGGAAAGCAGGGGAUCUUCGGACCUUGCGCUAAUAGAUGAGCCUAAGUCGGAUUAGCUAGUUGGUGGGGUAAAGGCCUACCAAGGCGACGAUCUGUAGCGGGUCUGAGAGGAUGAUCCGCCACACUGGGACUGAGACACGGCCCAGACUCCUACGGGAGGCAGCAGUGGGGAAUAUUGGACAAUGGGGGGAACCCUGAUCCAGCCAUGCCGCGUGUGUGAAGAAGGCCUUUUGGUUGUAAAGCACUUUAAGCGAGGAGGAGGCGCUCUAGGAUAAUACCCUAGAUGCGUGGACGUUACUCGCAGAAUAAGCACCGGCUAACUCUGUGCCAGCAGCCGCGGUAAUACAGAGGGUGCGAGCGUUAAUCGGAUUUACUGGGCGUAAAGCGCGCGUAGGUGGCUAAUUAAGUCAAAUGUGAAAUCCCCGAGCUUAACUUGGGAAUUGCAUUCGAUACUGGUUAGCUAGAGUAUGGGAGAGGAUGGUAGAAUUCCAGGUGUAGCGGUGAAAUGCGUAGAGAUCUGGAGGAAUACCGAUGGCGAAGGCAGCCAUCUGGCCUAAUACUGACACUGAGGUGCGAAAGCAUGGGGAGCAAACAGGAUUAGAUACCCUGGUAGUCCAUGCCGUAAACGAUGUCUACUAGCCGUUGGGGCCUUUGAGGCUUUAGUGGCGCAGCUAACGCGAUAAGUAGACCGCCUGGGGAGUACGGUCGCAAGACUAAAACUCAAAUGAAUUGACGGGGGCCCGCACAAGCGGUGGAGCAUGUGGUUUAAUUCGAUGCAACGCGAAGAACCUUACCUGGCCUUGACAUACAGAGAACUUUCCAGAGAUGGAUUGGUGCCUUCGGGAACUCUGAUACAGGUGCUGCAGGGCUGUCGUCAGCUCGUGUCGUGAGAUGUUGGGUUAAGUCCCGCAACGAGCGCAACCCUUUUCCUUACUUGCCAGCAUUUCGGAUGGGAACUUUAAGGAUACUGCCAGUGACAAACUGGAGGAAGGCGGGGACGACGUCAAGUCAUCAUGGCCCUUACGGCCAGGGCUACACACGUGCUACAAUGGUCGGUACAAAGGGUUGCUACACAGCGAUGUGAUGCUAAUCUCAAAAAGCCGAUCGUAGUCCGGAUUGGAGUCUGCAACUCGACUCCAUGAAGUCGGAAUCGCUAGUAAUCGCGGAUCAGAAUGCCGCGGUGAAUACGUUCCCGGGCCUUGUACACACCGCCCGUCACACCAUGGGAGUUUGUUGCACCAGAAGUAGGUAGUCUAACCUUAGGGAGGACGCUACC